rnacentral:rRNA from 1 species
GAUGAACGCUGGCGGCGUGCUUAACACAUGCAAGUCGAACGGAAAGGCUCCUGCUUGCAGGGGUACUCGAGUGGCGAACGGGUGAGUAACACGUGGGUGAUCUGCCCUGCACUUCGGGAUAAGCCUGGGAAACUGGGUCUAAUACCGGAUAGGAGGAUGGUUUGGAUGCCAUUGUGGAAAGUUUUUCGGUGUGGGUUGAGCUGGCGGCCUAUCGGCUUGUUGGGGGGGUAAUGGCCUACCAAGGCGUCGACGGGUAGCCGGCCUGAGAGGGUGUACGGCCACAUUGGGACUGAGAUACGGCCGAGACGCCUACGGGAGGAAGAAGUGGGGAAUAUUGCACCAUGGGCGCAAGCCUGAUGCAGCGACGCCGCGUGGGGGAUGACGGCCUUCGGGUUGUAAACUCCUUGCGCUAGGGACGAAGCGUGUUGUGACGGUACCUGGAGAAGAAGCACCGGCUAACUACGUG